GCCCACGUAGUAUUAAGUAUAGUUGGUAGUACGCGACAGCUUGUUCAACGUCAAGACGUGGGUUCGAUUCCCGCCGUGGGCU